CACGUAGGGGGCGAGCGUUUUCCGGAUUCAUUAGGCGUAAAGCGCGUGCAGGCGGCCGCCUAAGCGGGACCUCUAAUCCCGGGGCUCAACCCCGGGCCGGGUCCCGAACUGGGCGGCUCGGGUGCGGUAGAGGCAAGCGGAAUUCCCGGUGUAGCGGUGGAAUGCGCAGAUAUCGGGAAGAACACCGAUGGCGAAGGCAGCUUACUGGGCCGUCGCCGACGCUGAGGCGCGAAAGCUAGGGGAGCGAACA
rnacentral:rRNA from 1 species